UGCAGACACACUGCUGACAACAGGCCAGAAUUACAGCAUCAGCAACAUCAGCUCCCAGCACAGCGGACUGUACUACUGCACCGCUCACAACCAGCUGGGACAGCACAACUCCACACCAACAGAACUGGAUGUCUUAUGUAGGUACCAGUUUUUUUGUCUAUAUUUAUUACAUUCAAUAUCUAAUCAACAUCUCUUCUGAUCAGACGCUCCUCGAAUAACCAAUGUGACUGCCGUUCCAUCUGUUUCUGGUGAUUCCGUCACACUGUUGUGCGAAAGUGAUUCAAAUCCCAUCAGCGAUUACACCUGGACCAGGAGAACAGAGGGAGUUGUGAAACCGACUGGAAAUGGCAAUAAUUUAACUUUAGACUUAGGAGCAGAUGGACUUUACUACUGUACAGCAACAAAUCAGUUAGGAUCAUCCGAUUCAUCAGAAUGGGCAUAUACAGCAGAUAACAGAGCUGAGAAAUACGCAGUUACUGCAGUCACUGUCGUUCUGGUUCUGAUAUUCAUUGCUAUGAUUCUGUGGAUAAAGUAAGAAUCCAAAAUUAUAUUUGCAUUACUUUAAGGUGAUUUCUAUGAGUCAUCUAUACACAUAACCCAGUUAGUACAUAUUAGGAGGCAUUAUUUAAAAAUAAAUUAAAUAUCAGUCAACUGAAAAGAGUUGUGUUCUAUCAUAAAUCAGGAUUUGGGGUGACAGUGUGAAAUGGAAUUUCUCAUGGAUUUCCAUGUUUACAUGACAUUUAUGUCAGAAGUUUUUUUUACAUACAUCACAAGAGAUAAUUAUUAUGACCAAUUAAGUUUACACUUAUAAUCCUCAGUAAACCUCUUGUAAAGCAAACAUCCAUAUGGUUUCAGUUAAUGCAGACAAAAUUAAAAACACAGAUGCACAGAUUUAGCUUACCGAGUUGUUCACAUGCAAGUGUAUCUGUUGACGUGAUUGUUUUAUUACACACAUUCCAACAGGAGAAGCGCAUCAGCGGUCAGUACCAGGAGUGAGGAGCACAGCAAGAAGAGUUUUAACGAGAAUCACUCUACUCCUGUAUAUGGUAACAUCUCAGCCAUGACCUCUGACCCCACA